rnacentral:antisense_RNA from 1 species
AAUAACCAAAUAUAACACCGGGGCUAAGCAAAUCAUAUAUGCCACGAAAAUAAAGAGCCUUGAGUACUGCUGUAAAAAAAAAGAGAGCCUCGAGUACUAGAAGAAAAAGCGCCUAGACCUAACAAAAUUAAAUGAAUACCCAAAAUUGUACUCCCUCCG